AACGAACGCUGGCGGCAUGCCUAACACAUGCAAGUCGAACGAGACCUUCGGGUCUAGUGGCGCACGGGUGCGUAACGCGUGGGAACGUGCCCUUCUCUUCGGAAUAGCCCCGGGAAAUUUGGACUAAUACCGGAUGAUGCCUUCGGACCAAAGAUUUAUCGCGAAUAGAUGGGCCCGCGUUGGAUUAGGUAGUUGGUGGGGUAAAGGCCUACCAAGGCGACGAUCCAUAGCUGGUCUGAGAGGAUGAUCAGCCACACUGGGACUGAGACACGGCCCAGACUCCUACGGGAGGGAAGAGUGGGGGAUACUUGACAAUGGGCGGAAACCUGAUCCAGCCAAGGCGGGGGAAUUAAGAAGGCCUUAAGGUUGUAAAACCCCUUUAACCGGGAAGGUAAUGACCGGUUCGGGAGGAAGAGCUCCGGCUAACUCCGUG
rnacentral:rRNA from 1 species